rnacentral:misc_RNA from 1 species
UACAGAGGUCCCGAGCGUUGUUCGGAUUCACUGGGCGUAAAGGGUGCGUAGGUGGUCGUGAAAGUCUGAUGUGAAAUCUCGGAGCUCAACUCCGAAAUGGCAUUGGAUACUACAUGGCUUGAGAGUCGGAGGGGAGACUGGAAUUCUCGGUGUAGCAGUGAAAUGCGUAGAUAUCGAGAGGAACACCGGUGGCGAAGGCGAGUCUCUGGACGACAUCUGACACUGAGGCACGAAAGCUAGGGGAGCAAACAGG